GGAUGUCCAAACGUGCCCGGCCAGGUUCUCCUCGCACGCUUCUGGCUCGGGUUUCUCUCCCUGGGUUUCUCUCUCUGGGUUCGGAGAGGUCUCGGCGGGGUAGGCAGCGGCGCUAUCCCGUGCCUGGCACAGCGGAUGCUGUCUCGGGCUGCUCAGCGCUUGGCCGCUGUACACUGCCCUGCAAAGGUGCGGCCUGGCCAGGCUCUGAGCAGGGAUGAGCAGGGUGCAGACAUCAUAGCGCGGGCUGAGAAAGAACCAACACAAUUCCCACGCGGGACAUAAGCUGCCAGCCGUCCUCCGAGGGCCUGCGGAGCUGAUGGAGGCGAUGCGCACCGAGGACGUCCAUGUGCUCCCACCAGGAGUUUCAGCAGGCGCGGGAUACAAACCACGCUGUUUGGGGUAUCCCAUCGCUUCGGCACCCGGCGCGAUCGGGCUGCAGGGAUGUCGCGGACAAGCGCUGGGUGCUGCUCCGGCCCGGAGAACGUAGCGCAGCGCCAGACGUGCCAGGGCGGAGGUCAAGGUGCCCUGGCACCGUCUGGGCCCAGUCGGGAGGAAGGCUGCCGGGGAGAACUGCUGCCAGAGGAGAGCUGCCUGGGCUCUUUGGCACACGAGCUGCCAGAGAGACUGGGAAACAGCUGGGAGUUUUUUCCAAGAGGCUUUGAACUUCAGAGUUACUGAAGGCAAGCUGAUGUGCUUAGGAGGAAGUCAAUAAAAAGGAGGGAAAUCAUUGUGAAGUCC